UGAUGAGGACAUGGGCGUGACUUACGAGGAGCUCGGAAUGUAUGAACGCUUGAGAGACAUAUUCCGUUAUGGGUGUGUGGGACGUUCCCUUUGUGCAGAGAAUAUUCAUUGCCCGCUCUUUGGUGAUGCACAGUUCGCGCAAGCUCGGAAAGAUCAUUCUGCUCUUUAGUUUUUAACCCCUUUUGUUUCUGCGAUUACUCGAGUUUCUAGAAAUGUUCAGCACCUUUGAUAGUUUCAACAAGUUUGUAUGCAUCUAGACUUUGAAUGAACACGAUUGGAAGGUGUCCAAGGCUUUUUGGAUAGUCCCUCUUUGUCUUCAAAGACGAACGCAGAUUUGAAAUGGGUCAUGUGGGAACUAGAUUGUAAUUGUUCCAGAGACGUUAUUUUGAACAAGAAUUCUCAUCAUCACAGUACCAAAGAACCAACAAGAGUAACAAAGGGUGCUAACGUUGCA
rnacentral:lncRNA from 1 species